CACCGGGCCGGGGUGACCGGGGCGGGUUUGGGGACACCGCAAAACCGGAGGAGACCGUAAUGGUCCCGGCGCCUAGGAGAGAAGGAGGUAUGCGCACCGAGCCCAGAGCCCUUUGCCUCGACGAAGCCUUUCUGCAGCCAGCGAGAGCAGCGUGUUGGGAAACUGAGGCUGGGCAAGGCGGAGCGGCUCGUGCAAGGUCAGGGGGUUCUGGGGCGGAUGCUGCCACGUCUGGUCUGUACUUUGUGUUCCCUCCAGCCCAAGGCGGUGUUGAAGGUGAAGGCGCGUGGUGGGGAGCUGAGGAGCUCAGAUUUAGGGGGCUGGCUUCCGGAGCCCCUCGAGAAGGGAAGGGGUCCCGCGUAGGGUGUUGGGGACUUGGAUUGCCACGGGGGCGGGGUCACGGGAAAGCUGGGCGAGUUCUUCUGCAGAAGCACUUGACCAAGUUUGUAUGAAACAACUUUGCUCCGCUUGUUAAGGCCGCAGAGAGCAGAGGCUGAUACUGCGCCGGCAGUCUUGCAGCCUUCUGCCAAACCAAGUAUGGCAGGAUUUGUUUCUGUGCUUGCGCGGAGUUUAAAGCUAAGCAGCUCGCAGUCUUUAAUCCAGAUUAACUGUUGCUUCUUGGAUUAGAAAGCCCGAGUCGACUUAACUUCUUUUUUUUUUUUUCCCUGAUUGCGAAAGUUAAAAUCUUAUUGUAGGAGCGCUAGAGAAUUUGAAGGAUUUUCUCGGGAUUCAUAUUCAUUCAUUCUCAUUCAUAGCCCUCCCCAUUUUUUUCUCUCUGUUUUUCCCUCUUUUCCUCUCCUUUCUUUCUUUGAGACAGCGUGCCAAGUAUCCCCAGGCAGGCCUUGAAUUUCUGAUCCUCCUUUCUCCACCUACCAUGUGCUAGGAUUUCAGGUGUGUACCACAGGCUCGGCGCAACAGUCCUGCAUGCAUGAGAGAGUGUGUGUUUAUUACUCCCAAGACUUCAUGAAUGCAUGCAACACUCUACCAACUGAACUAUAACCAUGUUGUCUUUCUUCCUUUUCUUGUGCACAAGUAUGCACAUGCAUUUGUUUUUGUUUUUUAUCAAAAACAUGAAACAAUGUAGCAUUCUUUAGGUUUCCUACAGUUUUCCUGAAGAUGCUUGUACGUUGCAUGUAUAGGUAUUUGGUGUAAACUAGAUCUGCCUUGAUAGGUCGGACCACGGAAGGAAUUUCAUAAACCCACCCUAUUCUGUUAUGAAAUUCCUCAUACAGAGUUCAUACAGAGUUGCAAGAGGACUGGUUAGUGACAGUUGCAUGUUCUCUGUGACUUAUAGAAUAUGAUAAUGCCUACCUCAUUACCAUUGGUAGACUUUCUGUAGAUAUAAUAAACAUAAGCCUACAACCUCAUAAGGUAUUUAGGUGGUGGCAUCUCACCAUUCAACUUAAGAGGUGCCACAGAGCCUACUUCCCUCUGUCAGGUGGUGGUUUUGGGUUGCCACCUGAAGGUCCUCUACACUGGAAAAACAGCCUUCCUGCUCCUGAAUGGGGAAGGUCUCCGUGGAGCUCAGGGAGAGGGGGGCUUGGGAGAAGCAGAUGGCAUCUACAGAACAAAUUAAAGAACUAUGGACUCUGUGAUAGACAAGCUAGCAGAAGAUGGAGAAGUGUCUGGAUUUCCUCUGCAGAAUGUCAGCUAUUUCUGUUGUAACAUUCCCCUUCCUGAAGUCUAAAAACACUUAAUGCAAAUUCAAGGCUGUUCUGUGUGUUCUUGCUUCACUGUUAGCUUUUGCAUUUCUGUUCCCAAAAGAGGUGGAAAAGAAACCCAAGGGUCUGAGGAACUAUUUCAAUCCUACCUCAUCUAAAUGCUGACAGAAGGUUUUUAGACACUCACAUCUGCGAUUGUUUGGGGGUAGGGACAUUUUUCCCCCUCGGUUUUAAACUUACAGCUACUCUAAAUCUCAGGAUUUUUUCUGUAAAAAGUAGCUAGUUUAUUUGCAUAAAUGAGCGAAUAAAAUUGAUUUAAACUAAGAUGUCUCAGUAAAGUCAUUUAAAUUUUGCAUCAAGCUCAAUUCUCAUGUGCCCCCCCCCCCAACACAUACACACUUAAAAGAACUGGAGAGAUUCACUCAAAAGUCAAAACAGAGCUGCCAGUCAGUGGCGAAGCAAAUAUCUCCUGACUGAUUCUGCCAUGGAUCUUUUCUCGAGUAAUGGGGAGAAUAAACUGUUUUGAUGGUUCUGAUACACAGUUUUGAAAUCUAAACACAUCAGCCUUUGCUCUCACGUGUUGGAGCAUGUUCUUUGCCCCUUACCCCAAGCCCCUCGUCCUCAAUACGUGUAUUAGCUUUGCCAGUUUUCUGUUCGUGUUUGUAACUAAAAAUGGCAGUGUGACCUAGGUAAGUAAAUUAGGUGUAAGUAUGUUAACUUCCAAAAGAUAACAAAAAGGAAGUCCAAUAGAUUAUUUUUGUGUGAUAAUGAGUGGUUUGUUUGUUUUUGGUUUUUUUUUUUUUGGUUUUGGUUUUGGUUUUAGUUUUCAAGACAGGGUUUCUCUGUGUAGCCCUGGCUGUCCUGGAACUCACUAUGUAGGUAGGCUGGCAUUGAACUCAGAAAUCCUCCUGCCUCUGUCUCCUGAGUACUGGGAUUAAAAGCUUGCACCAACACAUUCAGCUUUAAUUUUCAACUUUGUAAUUUUUUUUAUAUUUAAUUAUCUUGUAUUUUAUGUGUAUGGGAGUUUCUGUUAUGUAUGUCAUGUGGAUGCCUGCUGCCCACAGAGAUCUGCGGAGGGCAUCAGGCUCCUCUGGAACUGGAAUUAGUUGUGAAUGUCUAUUAGCCUCUGGGUGGGUGCUGGAAACUGAACCCCCGUCCUCUACAAGAGCAACAAGUGCUUUAUUCACUUAGCUAUUGUUCCAGCCUCUCCUCCACGUCCAUCUCUUCUGAGGCAGAGUCUCUCAUUGGUCAGCAGCUUACCCAUUAGUUUGGGCUGCCUGGCCAGCAAGCCCCAGUGUCCUCCUGUCUCUACCUCCACACCACUGGGAUCCCAAGGAUCUAAAUGACAUUUUAGGACUGGUAAAGCAAGCACCUUUCCGACUGAGCUAGUUCCCCAGCCUCUGGGGAAUUUCUUCUUAAACAUAGCUCUUUAAAAUACAAUUUGAAUUUCUUUCACAUAUUUGUAUAACAUUUACAGUGACGACAGCCUACAGCUUCACAGUUUCUGUGACUUAAAUAUUUAUAGAAAGUACUUUAAAAGUGAAACCUUUAGAAGUACAUGCAUGAAAUAGAGAAAUACAAAUUAUAAGAUCUUGCUGGACCUGAUGGCACAGCCCUGUGAUGCGUGCUCCUUGGGAGGCUGAGGCAGAAGCACUUUAAGAAUAAGAUCAUCCUCGGCUACAGAGCAAGUUUCAGGUCCAGCCAGGGCAACUUAGUGAGACCCCGUCUCGCAAUUAAGAAGUAAACACAGAUAGAGCUGGGAUUAUACCUCAGUGGCAGGGUACUUGCCUAACAAAUGUCUGGGUUUGGUCCCCAGUACUGGGGAAAAUAAGUAGUAUAUACAAGCACACAUACAUACACACAUAUUAAAGUCUUUAUGUUCAUAUUACUGUGCAGUCAGUCAGACUCUCUCUGGUCUGCCUCUGUCACUUUCUGCAAUCUGCUUGGCUCUCUUGUUUACCCAGUCCCAGCUUUGGAUCAGGUCUCUUUACCUUUUGAAGACAUGGUUAUAACUUUCCUGUUUGUCAUAUCUGUGGUCCUUCCCAUCUCUUACGUCCUAGCCUGUCCUUUGUACAGUAUCACUGUGUCACUUGAGAGAAAUCCCAUCUCCCUUUCUUGUUUAAAAAAAAUCCUCAGCUGGGGAGAUGGUUUGUUGAAUAAUGUGCCUGUUGUGCAAGCGUGAGGACUGCAGUUCGAAUCCUUAGAACCCAAAGCUGUGCAGCUUAGCACCCAGGAGACAGAAACACAGGGUCCCCAAGGCGAGCUGGCUAAAUAGAUUGAGCUCCGGGUCUAGCCAAAGAUCCUGCCUAAACAGAGUGGCGAACAAUUACAGAAGACAUUCAGUGUCAACUUUAAGCCUCCACAAGCAUGCCCAUACAUGUCACCUGCACCCGCACACACAUAGACACAUGAAAAAGAAAUAAAAAAUGACCCUACAGAAAACCAUUGGCUUCGUUUACCCAGAACCAGUGCCUAAACCACUCAUCAUAGUAGUAAACAGUGGCUCUCAUUUGACUGUUGUGAGAGGGAAGCUGGGUCAAGUUUUGUGUUCUGUCUGAAAAUUUCCCAUUUUAUGUUCUACUAGGACCACUGAAUUUAAAAGUGAUUUAGAAUAACUUCAUCACAAAAUGUUCUUUUUUCCCCUGAGAUUUGACACUUAGAGAAAGUGUCCAUUUUUUACCCUAUGGCUUUCCACAGCUCCUGUUCUCUUGUUGUUAUUUUGUUUUAUUAUUUUUAGUUUAGUGUAUGUUUGCUUGCCUGUAUCUAUGUGUACUGUGUACGUUCCUGGUGCCCAUGGAGGCCAGAAAGAGGUGUUGGAAUGCCAGGAACUGAAGUUAUAGGCAGCGAGUUGGAAGCUGCCCUGAGGGCACCAAAAACCAAACCCAAGUUCUCUGUGAGAGCACCCAAUGUUUAUAGCUGCCGGGCCAUCCCUCCAUCCUCCUAGGCAUGACCUCUGAGUAGUUUGACAUGAUACGAUGGAAAUCUAAGAUUUAUGACUCCCCCCCCCCCCCCCCCCCCCCCGCCUAACCCACCACUCCGGAUGUCUUCUGUAGAUCCAUCCAUUCCCAAUAGUCUUGCCCUGGAUUCUAGGCAACCAUUCAUAACUCCAAUCCCUUAUACCCACUUUUGGCCUAGUCAGGCAUAAGGCAUGCACUUGGUACAUGCAUGCAUGCACACACAAACACAGGCAAACACACAAAUACAGUAAAAAACUUAAGUAUUUAAAAAAUAUUUUAUUUCUCUAAGUUACAUAUUCAUUGUUUGUUAUCCUUUUCUGAUGUCAUUAAGCAGAGUUAACUUGUCAGUUCUGGCUGCUUGGUGUUCAUUACUGCAUUCCCAGUGUAACAAGGCCACUGAGAACUGUGAAAGAGACAUACUUCUGGAUUUCUGGGACACCAUAGCCUCCUCAAGUUUUGAGUGUUGGCAGAAAUUCUCAAAAAGUGUUUCAGAAAUGCUAUUCUGUGCUGUUGAAGCCGAAUUCUACAAGACUAUUUGGAGGCCUGCAUCAGUGGUCUGUUAAGUGCAUGUACCAAAAGCAUCACAUAAUUGAGAGAGCACACCCCAGGUGAUCUAGAGAGCAUGCCCCAGGUGAUCUGGAGAGAGCAUGCCCCAGGUGAUCUAGAGAGAGCAUGCCCCAGGUGAUCUAGAGAGCAUGCCCCAGGUGAUCUAGAGAGAGCAUGCCCCAAGUGAUCUAGAGAGAGCAUGCCCCAGGUGAUCUAGAGAGCAUGCCCCAGGUGAUCUAGAGAGAGCAUGCCCCAAGUGAUCUAGAGAGAGCAUACCCCAGGUGAUCUAGAGAGAGCAUGCCCCAGGUGAUCUAGAGAGCAUGCCCCAGGUGAUCUAGAGAGAGCAUGCCCCAGGUGAUCUAGAGAGAGCAUGCCCCAGGUGAUCUAGAGAGCAUGCCCCAGGUGAUCUAGAGAGAGCAUGCCCCAGGUGAUCUAGAGAGAGCAUGCCCCAGGUGAUCUAGAGAGCAUGCCCCAGGUGAUCUAGAGAGAGCAUGCCCCAGGUGAUCUAGAGAGCAUGCCCCAGGUGAUCUAGAGAGAGCAUGCCCCAGGUGAUCUACAGAGCAUGUCCCAGGUGCUCUACAGAGCAUGCCUCAGGUGAUCUAGAGAGCAUUCCUCAGGUGAUCUAGAGAGCAUGCCCCAGGUGAUCUAGAGAGCAUUCCUCAGGUGAUCUAGAGAGCAUGCCCCAGGUGAUCUACAGAGCAUGCCCCAGGUGAUCUACAGAGCAUGCCCCAGGUGCUCUACAGAGCAUGCCCCAGGUGAUCUAGAGAGCAUGCCCCAGGUGAUCUAGAGAACAUGCCCCAGGUGAUCUACAGAGCAUGCCCCAGGUGCUCUACAGAGCAUGCCCCAGGUGAUCUAGAGAGCAUGCCCCAGGUGAUCUAGAGAACAUGCCCCAGGUGCUCUACAGAGCAUGCCCCAGGUGCUCUACAGAGCAUGCCCCAGGUGAUCUAGAGAGCAUGCCCCAGGUGAUCUAGAGAACAUGCCCCAGGUGAUCUACAGAGCAUGCCCCAGGUGCUCUACAGAGCAUGCCCCAGGUGAUCUACAGAGCAUGCCCCAGGUGAUCUAAAGAGAGCAUGCCCCAGGUGAUCUACAGAGCAUGCCCCAGGUGCUCUACAGAGCAUGCCCCAGGUGAUCUAGAGAGCAUGCCCCAGGUGAUCUAGAGAACAUGCCCCAGGUGAUCUACAGAGCAUGCCCCAGGUGCUCUACAGAGCAUGCCCCAGGUGAUCUAGAGAGCAUGCCCCAGGUGAUCUAGAGAACAUGCCCCAGGUGAUCUAGAGAACAUGCCCCAGGUGCUCUAGAGAGCAUGCUCCUGUUACUGAAUAGGUUAAUUCUUAUACAUACCUCAGGUGAUCUACAGAGCAUGCCCCAGGUGAUCUAGAGAGCAUGCCCCAGGUGAUCUACAGAGCAUGCCCCAGGUGAUCUAGAGAACAUGCCCCAGGUGAUCUACUGAGCAUGCCCCAAGUGAUCUAGAGAGCAUGCCCCAGGUGAUCUACCGAGCAUGCCCCAAGUGAUCUAGAGAGCAUGUUUCAGGUGAUCUAGAGAGCAUGCUCCAGGUGAUCUACUGAGCAUGCCCCAAGUGAUCUAGAGAGCAUGCCCCAGGUGAUCUACAGAGCAUGCCCCAGGUGAUCUAGAGAGCAUUCCUCAGGUGAUCUAGAGAGCAUUCCUCAGGUGAUCUAGAGAACAUGCCCCAGGUGAUCUACUGAGCAUGCCCCAAGUGAUCUAGAGAGCAUGCCCCAGGUGAUCUACCGAGCAUGCCCCAAGUGAUCUAGAGAGCAUGUUUCAGGUGAUCUAGAGAGCAUGCUCCAGGUGAUCUAGAGAGCAUGCUCCUGUUACUGAAUAGGUUAAUUCUUACACAUGGCUGUUCACAGUUGCAUCCCAUCUUUUCCAUAGAAGGAAUAUGUUGGGAGAUGUUUAGUUUUGCAUGUCCGAGUUUUAACAUCUGUUUAAAUUUGCCUGCUCUCAGUGGGUAGGAUUACACAGUCACACAAUACCAUCUAAGCAGCUUUGUGCAGCAGCCGGCUUUCAGCCGCCAAUCACAGGUGUGCCUGUGUCUGAGGGCAGACCUCCAGAAGGGUAAUGAGUUACAGGGAGUUGUCUCUAACAGGAGACUGGGAAAAUAGGGGAAGAUAAAUAAACUCAACCCUGGUUGGGGUGAUGGUGUACCAAGGGGUGCCUGCUGCUAGCCCACCAGGACUGCCCCCCCCCUAUAGUUAUGAUUGGCUGUCUUUAGCAUGGUGGAAAGAGGCAAGCUAAAAAGUGCUAAAACUCUUAGAAAAAAAGAAAUGAAGGGAGAAUGAAAGGAAGGAAGAGGGAAAGGAAGGAAGGAAGGAGGGAAGGAAGGAAGGAGAGAAGGAAAGAAGGAAGGAGGGAAGGAAGGAAGGAAGGAGAGAAGGAAAGAAGGAAGGAGGGAAGGAAGGAGGGAGGGAUGGAAAGAAGGAGGGAAAGAGGCAAGCCAGAGUGCUAAACUCUUAGAACAAAAGAAAUGAAGGGAGAAGGAAAGGAAGGAAGAGGGAAAGGAAGAAGGAAGGAAGGAGGGAAGGAAGGAGACAAGGAAGGAAGGAAGGGCAUACAGUGGAUACAUUUGGUUACUUUUGUUGCCUACACAUGGUGGCCUUACUUGGAAGGGGUGGUGUGUACCAGGAGGGGAAGUAGGAGGCAAGUGGGGAGACAGACUUCCUAGAACACUUGGUGCUCUCUCUUCCUUUUGGUGCUGAUUAAUGGUUACCUGCAGGAUUGCCAUGAGGGGCUGGGCACUUGUUCUUCAGAUCUGCUCUCCACCUUUCUAACCACUCUCGGGGGUCUAGCCUGUGCUCAGGCUGGCUGAUUGCACUGACAGGGUUUUCUGUAAUCUGGCUGCCUCUCUCUGGAAUCAUCAGGAGAUAGGCUUACCUGACUGUACAGAGGGCUGACUGUGUCAGUUGUUUCCUACCCAGUGGCUUUCCAGUAUAGUAACAUACUGGGGACAUCAGACCAUUCCUUCUGUCACCUUAGACUCAGGUGUUGGGAACCAUGGCUAGCCACAGGAUUUCUUUAAUCCUUUGUAGGUUGUCUCUUUAAAAAUAUCUCCCAACAAAGUGAGUUCCAGGACAGCCAGGGCUAUAGGGCUAUACAGAGAAACCCUGUCUCGAAAAACCAAAAAAAAAAACAAAAAAAAAAAAACAAAAAACAAAAAACAAAACAAAAACAAACAAAAAAAACCAACCAACAACAACAACAACAACAAAACUCUGCAGUUAUUUACAUUUUGUUUUUAUCAGUGUAUAUUCAUUGAACCAAAUAAUUGCCCAUCAUCCUUCCCCACUUGUCCCGCCCACUGGCCCCUUCCUCUUCCCAAUAGGCCCCCAUCCCCUAUGUCUUAUACAUGUCACUCACUUUUCAAUGCACUGUUUUGGUUUUGUUUUGUUACCGAGAAGCGGAUGCUAUUGCCUAUAAUGUGAUGAGACCUCCUUCUCCUUGCCUCUCUAAGCAGCACCCAGCUGUCCCUCUCACAGUGGUAUGGAUCCUGACAAAAGCCCUAGGACCUGCUCCUUCCCCUCUGCCUGAGGACCUGAUUACAAACAGGCAGUAACUGGGCCUCAGCCCAUCUCGGUCCAGUAGUGCCCUCCCCAGAUCGUUCAGCAGGGUACAACAUAGAAGCCAGGCUGCCGAGGUGGCUCAGUAGGCAAAGAUGUUUGCGCCUAAGCCUGAGAUGCACAUGGUGGAAGGGAAGAACGGAUUCCUCUAAGUUGUGCAUGUGUGCACAUGUAUGCAUGAACACACACACAGAGAGAGAGAGAGAGAGAGAGAGAGAGAGAGAGAGAGAGAGAGAGAGAGAAGCUAAGAGAGAGAAUAAACAAAUGUAAUAAAAAUUAAAAAACUAAAGAAGCCAUGGGGGAUUGUUUGUUAAGGAAAAUAAUCUUUUAUCUCCCUAUCCUCCCCCCUCCCCCCAGCACAAGUUACAGAAAUGUCCUGUAGAGGACAGCGUGGAUGACAGGAAGACUGACAGGACUCUGAGAAGCUAAGCUGGAGUCCUUAAGGACCCUGUAGCUGACCUUCCCUCCCUCCCUCCCCCUCCCCCCGGGUAUCAUUAUCUGAGUCUGUUCCUGUUGUUGUUUCAGUCCUUAGUUCUUAGAAAUGUGUGUGUGUGUGUGUGUGUGUGUGUGCAUGCGUGAGGGCAUACACGCAUGGAAAUGAAUAUGUGUUUGCGUGGGUAUAAGAGAGCAACUACUACUCUGCCUCUUGAGACAGAGUGUUUCAUUGGCUUACCAACUGGGCUAGACUGGCCGGCCGGCCAGUGAGCCUCAGGGAAUCCACCUGUGUCCACUUCCCUAGUGCUGGGAUUACAAACACAGGCCACCACACCUGGCUUCUUUAUGUGCAUUCUAAGGAUUAAGUUUAGGUCUUUGUGCUUGCAAGGCAAGUGCGUUUACCGACUGAGCCCCUCCCCAACACCUCCUCAAAUUGGUUCUUGCUUCAAGUAGUAACCUAACAAAGAAGUUUAAUAAAAUAUAAAGUCUCAGCAUUUGCAUCCUUUGGUGUUGUAGAAGACAUCUCUCAUUUACACAGGGGAUUCUAGCCACACUAUUAAAAAGUUUUUAUUUUUUAUUAUGUAUAGGUGUGUGUGUGUGUGUGUGUGUGUGAGAGAGAGAGAGAGAGAGAGAGAGAGAGAGAGAGAGAGAGAGAGAGAAAGACUGCAGGUGCUGCAGGCCAAAGGCUUUAGAUCCCCCAGAGCUACAGUUACAUGCAGAACGUUGUAAGUUGCUUCAUGUGGGUCCUGGGAACUGAACUCUGGUCCUCUGGAAGAGCAGAAAGUGAUUUUCAUCGCUGUGUCAUCCCAUUAGUGAUAACAACAGUAAAGAUGAAUUAUUAUUGUUUAUGUGCAUGUGGAGGUCAGAGGAUGGCUUUUGUGACAUCAGCUCACUCCUCCUACCUUCCCCAGCAUCGGGCACUUAAGUACCUUUCCCCACUAAGCCAUCUUGUCAUGAUUCUAGUACAUUUUCAACACCUUUUGUUUCACAGGAGGAGUCUAAUCACACCCCAGACAAUUUCCUUUAUUUUAAACGUUUUAAUUAUGAUAAACUGUAUAAAAUUUGUUUCCUUUGAAUAGUGACCAUUGAUCCCUUUUUGACUAAUAACUUGCAUUCCUUCUGAUCACUGGUCUUCAGGGCAUGAUUCCCCGUUUCCCGGUCAUCUUAGUUACUUCCUCUGAGUGCACACCGUCAUCCCUUUGUCAUGGUAUCUUUUAAAAUAUGGCUCCCCAGCCUGAGUCUAUCUAGUAGAAGGAUUGAGAAGUCCUCAAAGACCUCUUUCCUCUGGGUAUCUGUGAUAACAGUAGGUUAAAAAAAAAUUGUGUGCUUACCAUUGACUGGAUCAUAGAUUACAUAGUUUAAAAUGCCAUUUCAAGGCUACACAGUCAACACUUCUUACUCCCGUUUUAUUGAUAGGAAAACAAAUAGAAAAGUAACCUUGAAUAAGUUGCCAGAGACCACUGAGCUAGUUAGGCAUAGAGUGGAGAACUAACGUCUUGGUUGAUUCCAAAGCUCAUGUUCUUAUCUCACCCAGGGCUACACCCACAAACCCUCUCCCACACACUCUAUUGUGUCUCAAAGGACAGGGAUAUUGAUAUCAUAUUGACCUCUUUGUCGACACUGUUUAACCCAGAAGCCAGCGAGAGAUGGCAGAGCAGAAAGGGUGUGCCUGCUUGCUUUAUCUGAAGUGCUGUUCAUGUGCUUGACAAGCUCACCCAGGGCUGGAGGAAGACAUGAUACAGAGGGUGACUGUAUUAGCUCUUGGCAGUGAAAUUAUCCCAUUAUAUCUUCUCUCCAGAAAGUGCUAUUAUUCAUAGCCACAGAAGUCCACCUAUAAUUUCAAGGGGUUACGGGUUUCUUGUGGCUUUAUUCCUGAUCUCACGAGAGGACGGUAGACCGGGUUGAAACAUGCUGUGGUCGGGUCAGUGCUAUUCUGAUGAUGCUUCUGGCAUCACUUAAGUCUAGACGGAGUUCUGGCUUGGCUGUAGGCUACCUCCCAUGGGCUUAUGUCUUUGAACACUUGAUCCUCUGACCUCAGGCUGCUGUUUUGGAAGGCUCUGCAACCUUUAGGAGACGGAGUCUCUCUAGAGAAUUGGUCACUAGGAGUGGACCUUAGAGUUUAUGGUUUUUAGAUACCAGACUGCUUUAGUGCCUAGUAUCUGCCACUGCUUUUCCUUCUCCAGCAUGACCUGUACCCUAAGUCAUGAGCCAUGGGAAGCACUAUUUCCCUUAAGUUGUGUCUUGUCAGGUAUUUGGUCACAGCAGUGGGGGAAGUGACAAUGUGGUGGCCCAGAGCCACUGUGCUUCCUUUCCCUGCUCUUUUACCUUUUGUUGUUGUUUGUUGUUGUUUCAAGGUAAGAUUUCUCUGUGCAGCCCUGGCUGUCCUAGAACUUGCUCUGUACUCCAGACUGGCCUCUAACUCCACCUGCCUCUGCUUCCCAGGUGCUGAGAUUAAAGGGGUGUGCCACCAUUGCCUGGCACUAUCUUUUACUUUAAAAAAUAAAUAGUUUCACUGAGUAGCUCAGGCUGGCCUCAGAUUUCGAGCCUUCCCACUUGAGCCUCCAGAGUGCUGGCAUUAAGAGCCUGUGCCACCACCCCUGGCGCAGCUCCUGGGCAGCUCCUAGAGAAGAGCUUUCAUUGUGAACCUCGGUGAACCACAUCUGUGUGCUGUGGAGAUGGUGUUUCAUCUGGGCGAUGAUGUAGCUUGGACUCCUUGAUACUCUUUUCGAGACUGUCAGCCACGAAGCACUUCACGUUUGCUGUUACAGCCUAUCACUCUCAGGGACUGCAGUUGGCACUGACGUUUGCCAAAGUUUUCUUUUAAGAGAACUUUCUUUUGGGCUGGGUGUCAUGGCACACACCUGUAAGCCCAGAAUUCAGAAGGUUGAGGAAGAAGAGGCCUGGCUGGGGCUACAUACAUGAAAACGUAUCAGAUAAGAUGAAGCAAGGCAGUGAGGAGCUAGGGAGAGGAGAUGGCUCACUCUGCGUACUUCUUGCCAUGUAACUGUGAGAACCCAAGGCUCAGAGUUCGGUACCCACAUAGGAAGCUGGAUGUGGUGUGCACCUGCGGUCCUAGUGCUGAGGAGGUAGAGAUGGGGGGACGGACCCUUGGGGUCUAGCUGAAGGAAGUGGCAGUUUUACUGGGAGACACUGCCAAAAUAGAACAAGAUAAGAUAAGAUAAAAUGGAAAGUAAUGGAGGAACACACCUGUGGUCAUCCCUCUGCCUCCACAUGCAUGCAUUUGCACACCUGCCCACAUACAUGCGUACACACAUUGAUACCUCAACACACAUGUGUACCUGCAUACAUAUAUUUAUACAUUCAUACACAUAUGUUCCUACCUGUGCACACAUUCACAUAUACAGUCACCCCUGAACAUAUACAUACAUACACACAUUCACACGUUCACAGAUUGACCAAAGUUAGUUUCUUUCAGUGUAUCAAGAACUUUAUCUUGGUAUUUCUUGAUUUAAAAAGAAAAAGGUUUUUCUUUUCCUUUUUUGAUAGAUUUGGGGGGGUGCAACUUUCUUGAGCCCCUGAAUGUUUUCUAGGCACUGUUCUGUCCUCUUGUGUGUGGUUAUUGUAGAUCGAGAACUGUUCCCACUGUUCCCUCUCCAGCCUUAUUUGUCAUUUUCUUUAUUAAACAUUUGUUAAUCUGUGAGCCCAGUAAGAGUAUCUGAAGCUGUAUUUGUGCCUGCAUUCCCUCUUUUCUCCUCCCCUGCAUUCCACCCCACCCCCUCCUCACCCCUGCACUGGGCCUUCGCUUUUCUCUUUCUCCAGCCAGCUACUGCAAUUAUCUGCAUUUAGUUCUUAGCUUGCUUUUCUUUCCUGGACCUUGGAUCUUCUACCAUCCCGCCUGUUUAACUACUUAACAACAACAACAACAACAGAAAAAUCCAAAUUUGUCUCUGCUCCCGACUUUGGGAGAUUUUGCAGCUUGAGCUGGGGAGAAAGUGGUGGGUCUUACAGGAACGUGCGCUGCCUGAGUGCUUUAGAUUUUGAAAUAAACUUUCAGACGUGCAGAGAGGCUGUAAGUAAGUACGACUGGCGAGUUUUCCUUCCCCUGAGCUGCUGGAAUGCACACGGCCCAGUGCACACCCACUCCCGGCUACAAGUCAUUUACCGCUUAAUGAGGGGCGUGCAUUGAGAGAUCUGCUUCAGCAAUUUUGCCAUUGUGUAGGUCUCGUGGUUUGCACUCACACAGACCUGCGUGACGGAGGUCAGUCACUGCAGAUGCCCCCCUGCAGUUGGGAGUCAGCACAUGAAACUACUACUGCCACAAGACGACAUGUUGCUUUGUAAUAAACUGUUUCUUAAGCAGAGUAAUCUGCAUCAUGCUGAAAAACACCUGAUAGUGAAUACAAAGACCAGUAUACCAUCCGUACUUUAAUAUGACUGGUAGUGCUCUAGGUGUGUUUACACCAGCGUCGCCAUGGAUGUGUGAGCAUUGCUAUGUGAUUCCACCUGACCUCCACUAUCAGGCUGGCAUGUAAUAGGAACUCUCACCCCUCCUUGCAGUCUUAAGGGACCCUUGGUCGUUGCAUACUCUAUUUGACUACGUAGAUAUAUGACACAUGACUGUACUUUAUCGUGUAUUACUUAUAAGCUGGUGUGUCACUGACAUUACCGUAACUACCAUCAUGAUCCAGGUCAUCCUGCUGCCUCCUUACCUCAGGUUGUGUCUAGGUCUAGCCAGCUGCCUAUCAUGUCCUUUGCAGUGAAAGUUCAUUCAGUUUAGUCACUUCAUGUGCUUAGUCACACCAUCUCCUGGGUCUCCUUCAGUCGGAAGUGACUGUCCCAGGCUGUCCAUGGACUCUCUUGAAGAUCACAGGCCAGUCAUUUUGCAGAAUGCCCUUCAGUUUGGAUAUAUGUGAUGUUCCCUCUGUCUUUGGUGGUUGUGUGUUGUUGGCAGGAAGGUCCUAAGGUUGCAAGGUACAAGGUGAUGCAGGUUUUAAAGUCUGCUUCCUUGUUGAUAAUGCUGUGUUUGACUUACUUUGAUUCAAGUAGAGUCUUCCAGGCCAGGAAAGUGUCCCUUUUAGAGUGAUAAGGCUGUUCUGGAGGAUAUUUUUGAGGUGAAUCCAUCCCAUUCCCUUUGAAGCAUUCAAAUGUGUUUGGUUACUAAUUCAUAUUAGUGCAGACUCUUGGUUUCCUGUUCUCUUCAGAGGCUUACAUUCCAUUACUAUAAUGACUUUGAUGUCUCUGUUGUCUUAGAUUUGGGUAGUAGGGGUUUUAAAUGGCUCCUCUUUUGUUUCGGAAAAGUUGUUGAUUUAUAGUAAACAAAUUGCAGGGAUAAGGAGAAGGCUUGGUAGGUGAGUGUGCUGUUCUGCAAGUGUGAGGACCCGAGUUCUAAUCUCCAGCAUCCAUGUGGAAAGCUGGCCAUGGCUGUAACAUUAACACUGGGGAGUGGGGACAGGUGACUCCCCAGUGCUCCCUGGCCAGCCAGCCUUGCUGAAAGAGCAAGCUUCUGGUUGAGUGAGGAACCCUUCUGGUUGAAUGAAUGACCCUUCUGCAGCCAAUAAGGUGGAGAGUGGGAGAGGCAGACUCCUAAUCUCCUGCUGUGGUUUCCACAUGCAUGCACAUGGGUAUGCACACCCAUAUAUCCACAAGCUUGCACACUCACAUACCAUUACCACCACCUCCCCCCCAAAAGAUAACGCUUAAAGAAAAAAAAAGGAGUAUGCAUACCCGAAUCUGUCCUGAAGUUCCCUAAAGACCAAAAAAGAAAAAUGGACAGAGUUGGUCUAUGGUGGCCAAGGCAUAGCGUUUGAAAUGGGUAAUUACAAAAUGCCAGGCUGAGACCUUUAGGAGGCCUGGCUAACUGAUUAAGAGUUCAUCAGCCAAAUUAAGCUGUGGGUGUUUAUUUUAAGGGAGUGACAUGACCAGACAUUUAGCUGCCAGAACCAAGUGACUUUGUUUUAUUAGUUUUGCCUCCAAGGAAUUUGCAUGGUGGACAUCCUGACCCUGUUCCUACCAUGAUAUCCUAUCAUAAGGCUAGCGGGUCAGUGAUGCCGUGGGCUCUGGGAAUGUGACAGGGGCAAGUGUUUCCUGAUUGUACGGCUUUAUUGUUCAAAGACUCUGAAGAUACCAUGGUGUAGUAGACCACUGUGUUUGCUGUGAGCUCUGCCAGCCAGCAUGAAAUCCCAGUUCCAUCCCAUUCCCUUUGAGCAAGUCAUUUACAUCUAGGCCUGACUUAAAGAUAGGUCCCCAGCUUUAAAGUCUAGAUUUGAAAAUCCAGCUGCUGUGGCCUUGAGCUUAAUCAAAACACAGUCCAUACAGCGUUUGGGCUACAGUAAACAAGCAGGCGGUCCCAUUAGCUUACUGCUAAGGCAAAUGACCAAACUUUGUAAGUUUCUUUAGGCAAGGUCAGAAAGUUUGCUUACCCAAACCUGGAAUCCAGGGCUUGGGAGAUAGCUGAGUUGCUGUGAAGGUGUGAAAUACUGGGCUCAAUGCCCAGCCCUCAGGUUUUAUGAAGAAAUAUAGGUGUGUGUGUGUAUACAUAUAUAAGAUAAGGAGUCAGGCAUGGUGGCAUUUGCUAAUAAUCCUAGCAUUGGGGAAGUGAGACAGAAAGAUCCCUGAGUGUGCUGACUAGUCAGUGUAGCCCAUCGCUGAGCCCCAGGUUCCAGAGAGAGACUCUGCCCCAAAUUGGAACAAGUUGUGGGUCGGUGAGAUGAUUUAGUGGGCACAUAGAGGCACUUGCUGGAAAGCAUGAUGACCUGAAUUCUAGCUCCAGCAUCCACAUGAUGGGAGAGAACUAGUUCCCACAGUUGUCCCCUGACCUCCCCACUCAUGCUUUUGGCACCCCCCCCCACACACAUAAAUAAAUACAGAAAUAAAUAAUAGAAUAAAAUGUUUUAAAAAACAAAGCAAACAGAAAACCGAGGUAGGCAGCUCUCAAGUAAUGCACCCACACAUCCUGGGAAUUCUACUCAGUCUAACUGUAAGGCUUUUAAUAUUUUCCAGCAUCGUUUCUCAGCAUCCACGUGUCAGAUUAGUAGAUCUGGGGUUUGUAUUGUAUUAGAUGGUUUAAUUUCCAGAGUUGCUGACUGAGGACUGUGGAGAUGGUUAAGGCAGUAAAAGUGUUUGUUGCACAAAUAAAAAGCAAGACAUGCUUGUAGUGACAUGCAGCUGUAAUCCUAGCAUGGGGGGCUGAGAUAGAGACCUUAUGAUUUGCUGGUCCACACGUCUGGCCAGUUAGUGAGCACUAUAUUGAGUGGGAACCUCUAUAAUAAUAAUAAUAAUAAUAAUAAUGAUGAUGAUGAUGAUGAUGAUGUGGUUUUUCAUCAAAAUGGCUCUUAAAGUAAAGAAGGAAUCCGCUGCCUCCCCCAAAGCCAAAGCAAAGGCCUUGAAACCCAAGAAGGCAGUGCUGAGAGCCGUCCACAGCCGCUGAAUGCAGACCUGCGUGGUACCGACUUUCUGGCAGCCCAAGACCCUGCUCUUCCAGAGGCAGCACACAUGCUCUUGUAAGAGCCUGCCCAGGAGAGGCAAGCUGACUGCUACAACAGCAUCAACUUUCCUCUGAACACUGACUCAGCCACAGAGAAGACAGAAGAAACAACACACUUGAAUCCGUCAUGGGUGGCAAAGCCAGCAGGCACCAGAUCAAACAGGCCGUGAAGAAACUAGGUAGUUGAUGUGGCCAAAGUCAAUACCCGGAUAAGGCCUAAGUCAAUGGCCUGAUAAGGCCUGAUAAGGCAUAGGUCUGGCUGCCUCCUGAUUAUGAUGCUCUGGAUGUUGCCAACCAGGUUGGGAUCAAUUAAACAGUGUUCAGCAGAUAGUUCUAAAGACACAGGGUUGUUUGUUUGUUUGUUUGUUUGUUUAUUUAUUUUUUACCAUUGUGGUUGUUAGAAUAAGUAUGGCCCCAUAGAUUCAUGAGUUGAAUGCUUGGUCAUAGGGAGUAACACUACUAGGAGAUGUGGCCUUAUUGGAGGAGGUGUGGCCUUGUUAGAGGAAGUGUAUCACCGGGGAGGUGGGGCUUUGAGGUCUAAUGUAUGCUUAAGUUCAGCUCAGUGCAGAGCUCAGUGUCCUGGCUGCCUUCUGAUGAAGAUGUAGAACUCUCAGUUCCUUUCCAUCACCGUGUCUGCCUGCGUGCUACCAUGGUUCCCACCAUGAUGAUAAUGGACUAACCUCUGGCACUGUAAGCCAGCCUCACUUAAAUGUUUUUCUUUAGAAGAGUUGCCUGGGUCAUGGUGUCUCUCCAUAGCAAUAAAACCCUAACUAUGGCAACCAUUAAGAAAAAAAGGCGGAAGGGUCUAGAGAGAUAGCGCAGCAAUUGGGACUAUUCAGUGCUCUUGCAGAGGACCUGUGUUCUAGUCUCAGCAUCUGCAGAGCAGCUCACACCUGUCUGUAACUCGAGUUCUAGGGGAUGUGACGCCUCUUCCCGUCACCAUAGGCUUCUGCACACUUGACACACAUAAACUCAUGUAGGCACACACGUGUGGACAUAAAAAAGGAAGUAUCUGAGGCAGAUGCUUGACAUUAGCCUCUGGCCUCUAUACAUGCACCUCCAUGUAUAUCCACACGCCUGUGCACACACACAAAGAAUGGCUGAUUGUUUUGUUGCUGAGUUCCAUUAAAAAACUUUGCCAUGAAUUGUGGGUUGGAAUCAGGACAGAAUUUCUCAGUUUCUAAGAUAGCCCUAGACACCUGCCACCUUGUACUAUGCCCCCAUGCAAAGCAGCCUUUUCAACACUUGACAGUAAAGUCAGAGCAUCGCUGAACUCUAAAGAAGGUUAACACGCAUGCCUCCAGUAUGGAAUAUCCAGCCAAGACUUAAUUCUGUAUGUGAAAAUGAACACACAUACCCAUCACAUUAAUAUGCAUUUUUUUGUCUUUAAUAGUAAAAUCAUAUGUAUACCAAAGAAUGAUUAAAAAUACAAAUUUUCAUUAUUUUUUAUCAGAAACUGUUUGACUUGGGUACCUGUUUUAUAUACCAGCAAAUCCACUAUAACAUAAAUAUUUCUUGAGUGGAAAACUUUAAGCCUGAUUUGGACAUGAGUUCUUCCCAGAGUGUCCAUAGUGGCGUCUGCACUAGCCAGCCUUUGCAUUCCUACAACAGGCAAGACACAAGUUGAGAAAAAUAGCUUAAAACAGGAAAGCUUUGUUUCAGCCCUCGGUUUCAGAGGUUUCCAGCUGUUUUUGCCUAGUUCUAUUGUUUCUGGGAGAAGGGUGAGUGAUGGAGAAAGGGCUUAAUAGAAGAGCCCACUUGCCUUAAGGCAACUAAGAAGCAGGGACAGCCAGGGACCAGGGACAAGAUACACAUUCCAAAGGCUUGUCCCCAGCAACCUCUCCCAGAGGAGGCCCCAUCUCUGAGCCUCACCAGCAGCAGACUGCAGCACCAGCUGGGAACCACGUCUCCAACACCCACAGGAGUCUGUGAAACAACCCACUUUAAAGCCCUUGCAGCCCUUAUUCUUGGAAGUUGAUGCUCUGAUCCAAAAUUUUUACAGAAAUACAGAGAGCUUAGACUAUCAGAAGUAAUUGUGAAGAAAACAUUAAUACUAGACCAAUGCUACCAGAUUUAAAGGUUUAUUAUAAAUCUGCAGUAAUUUAACAGUGUAAUACUGAUUUAAAACAAACAAACAAACAAAAAAUCCCACCAAGAUAAAUGGUUGAGUGGAGCAGACGAGAGCACUGGUGGGUGUAGAACACUUGACAGUCAUGGUCUACUAGUGAAUGUGUCAAGGGCUUCAAAUGUCUUAGAAACUGGCAGAUUCUACUGAGGACAAACAUAAGCUAUAUAUAGUCCCUUUUUAAAGAAAGAAAGGCAGAGUCUGGCCAAGCUAUAAACAUGUUUCCCAGUUCUGGUCCAGGUCAAGGAUGUGUGCUGUGGCUGUGUUGGCAGUGGUUCACAGCAUCACACAGCAUCGCGUGGGGACAGCAGGCAGUCAUGCUCAUCCUCCGAGUCUUGGUCACUCUCCUACAAAUCCACCAGUGUUCAAUGGCUGGGGCGUCACCUUGAUGACCUUAUAUAACCCUUGUCAACCUUCAAACACGAUCAGAUUACGUUUCUGCCCUCUUAAUACCUCAGAGGGAAUUAGACUCCAGCAAGAGCUGUUGAGGGCACAAAACCUUCACAUUAUAAAACAGCCAUGCGUAUAAUUGAGCAGUGUUAGUCUCAUGUGUAGUUACUCAGAGUUUUAUUCCUAAGAGCCCCAAACUAGAAACAACAGUUAUAAGGGGAAUCUUUUUUUUCCUACUAAAUUACAGAUUUUUCAAGUUAGCACAGGCUGGACAAGAUGUCCACUGGCACAGCAGCGUAGGGUAACACACUGAUUUCUAUGUACCUGGAGACUGUUGUCCGAGAGAGUGUCAUGGUUUGCAUCUGAAAGGUCUCCACAGACUCGUGUCUUGAACACUUGGUUCCCAGUUCAUGGCACAAUUUUGAGAGGUUCUGGACACUGGGAGUUGAGAGAUAGAGUCACUGGCAGAAAUAAAUCAUGCCGAAGGGCCUGCCCCAAAGUUUAUGUCCAGCCCUGCUUCUUGCUGCAUGCUAUUUCCUGUCCUCCUAUGAUGGGAACACCCUCAACCAUACUUACCAUUACUGUAGACUGAGCUGUCCCAGCAAGCCUUCCCCACCGUGACUGAGGGGAACCCUCCGAGACCCUGAACCAAAGGGAAGAAUUCCUCUCUUGGGUUUUCUCUCUUGGGUGUUGUCACAGUGGUGUGAGCGCUAACUAGUACCAUGGCUCAGUGGGGGCCAGACAGUGGAUUAUCCAGCUGGGAAGAAAAUUAAUUCCCCAAGUAAGGUAAGCCAGAUUCCUACUUCAUACUAUGAAAACUGCAAGGUCAUGCUUGACAUCCCAUUUAGGAAGUUAAGGCAGGAGGACCAGGAGUUCAAGAUCAGCCUCAGCUGUGAGACCUCCCAUCUCUAAUACCAACUAAAUGAAAUAACAGACAAAACCAAAACAAACAAGCAAACAAAAAAUAGAAAAUAACAACAGCAAAAACAAGCCCUGUCCCCCCAAAACCCAAACUCUAAAGUGACUAGAAUCUAAAAUGUAAAGAGAAGAAAACUAGUGGGAAACAAAAUACUUUAUGUAUUUGGUGAGGACGGAUCCUCCUGUCUCCCUCCCCUUUCCUCCUCCCCUUCCUCCCUUCCUCCCCCUGUUUGUGUUGUUUAAGGACAGGCUUGUGUGUAGCCCAGGAUGGUUUUGAAUGAACUUACUACAUAGCCAAGGAUGACCUAGAACUCCCAACCCCUCUGUUUCAACCUUCUGAGCACUGGCAUUUCGGGUGUGUACCCCAUACCUGCUCAGAAAAGGACUUUGUAAGGCACAGACUCUCUCCACUGAAAAUCUCCAC